CGGGCGGCCUCGGGAGCGGGCCGUUUCCGAGGGUCUCCUGGCCCGCCUGAGCCGCAGAGCGGGGGCGCGCAGCGUUCGGAACGCCGCCGCCCGGCC
rnacentral:tRNA from 1 species